UACGAAGGGUGCAAGCGUUGCUCGGAAUUAUUGGGCGUAAAGGGUAGGUAGGUGGUGGUAAAAGUCCGAAGUGAAAUCCCUGAGCUUAACUCAGGACGUGCUUUGGAAACUUUAUCACUAGAGUACUAGAGAGGUUCGUGGAAUUCCUGGUGUAGCGGUGAAAUGCGUAGAGAUCAGGAGGAACAUCAGUGGCGAAGGCGGCGAACUGGAUAGUAACUGACACUCAACUACGAAAGCGUGGGGAGCAAACAGG
rnacentral:rRNA from 1 species